AACGAACGCUGGCGGCAUGCCUAACACAUGCAAGUCGAACGAAGGCUUCGGCCUUAGUGGCGCACGGGUGCGUAACGCGUGGGAACCUGCCCCUCGGUUCGGAAUAACAGUUAGAAAUGACUGCUAAUACCGGAUGAUGACUUCGGUCCAAAGAUUUAUCGCCGAGGGAUGGGCCCGCGUAGGAUUAGCUAGUUGGUGGGGUAAAGGCCUACCAAGGCGACGAUCCUUAGCUGGUCUGAGAGGAUGAUCAGCCACACUGGGACUGAGACACGGCCCAGACUCCUACGGGAGGCAGCAGUGGGGAAUAUUGGACAAUGGGCGAAAGCCUGAGCCAGCAAUGCCGCGUGAGUGAUGAAGGCCUUAGGGUUGUAAAGCUCUUUUACCAGGGAUGAUAAUGACAGUACCUGGAGAAUAAGCUCCGGCUAACUCCGUG
rnacentral:rRNA from 1 species